CUUUUUUUUUUUUAAUUUUAAUUUUUUUUUAACACACACUGCGCUUUUUAUUUUCCUCCACAGAGCUAGUAUCCAGGGAAAAAAAAAGAUCCAUCCAAUAAACAAAAAUAAACUUUGAACAACAAAAAAACAAAAAACAAAAAAAUGGCCAUGUGUUGUAUCAUCAAGGAAAAGUCUAUAGGGGUGAAAAAAAAGGAAUAUAUUUAUAUAUAUAUAUAUUUAUAUGUAUAUAACACUGUUAAUAAGGAGAAUUCUAACCAAGAGCAGGAUUUAUACACCCUUCAAUAGAGCAGUGAGAAGGAAGGGGUGAAGCAGUGUGGGGGGAAAGAAGGUGGAGGUUUUGUUCCAUGCUUCUCUCCCCCUGCAGUUUUUUUUUCCCUUUAACCUUCCCCCCAUCCCAGUGAAUACUUAGGGAGCAGCACUUGGCCACGAUCACCAGAAUGAACCAUUUACAUUCUCUGGUGAAGAGCAAAGACUUGGGGAAGUGGGUCCCAAAAAGGCUGCAGAUAGCUUAGAAUUACUGCUGCGUGCCAUGAAGCUAGUAGUUCCACGUAUUUUCUUCAUUUGCAAGAAGCAGAUUUUUACUCUGUGCCUGGCUUUUACAUACAGAAGGCUUGUGCAGAGGAAAACAUAGCUGUAGGAGUAGAUCCAGGAGCACCACUCAAGGAGACACCUCUGAAAUAACCAUGCAAAUGGAGAGUUGUCCUCAGGGAGGGGUGGGUCAUUCUCCCAUUUAAAGAGAGCUUUGAAAGUGCUCUAAACACAUCGCACAUCCUUAUCUACAUCACCCAAUACACGUGCUGGGAAGUUAUGAAUAAUCCCUUGGGGGGCUACACUUUGAUGGGUUGAAACAAGUGGGCCUGUGCUCAAUCCAUUCAGCAUAUGGCACAAGAAAGUAAUUCCUCACGAACUGCCUGAGAAAUAGCAUUUCUGCGUACCCUUCUCUCAGAGAACUGAGCUUCCACAUUUGAUUUGGGCCUUUCACAACAACUCUCCCUGUGUUCGACUCUGUCACCUUCUGUUUAUUUUUGUCCUAUUUUUAGCUUGUCUUCUUUAAAUGAUCUCGACCUCUACUUUUUCAAAAUGAGGCUUGUUUUCUCUCAGUCCACUUGCUUGACUUCACAGCCUCUUAGUCAAGUUUAGGGCAACUAUGCCAUGAGAAAAUCCUUACAAAACAAAAUGUAUUGUCUUGUCUGUUUCUCACAGAACAGCCUUUUGAACCUGCCUGGGACCACUUGCUUACUGCCAUCAGCAAAAGCAAAGAGUUUUCAAGGACACACAUUUACUGUAAUGAGGCACUUGGCCCAGAAUGAGAAAAAAAACAAAAAACAAAACAAAACUGAUGUUUCCUUUCAUACACACAACAUGCAUAAUAGCCUGGCUACUUUCCUUCCUAUGAAAAGUUAUUAGAAUAUAGUUCAGCAGUUUGAUUUUAUAUUAUAAGGAAACAACUCCAGUUAUUUCAGUGCCUUCAGUCUCAUCUGAAUGUGUCCCUUCUCUACCUUGCUAAGAAGUUUUGUUCAAAAGAGAAUUUUAGAACCUGUCCAGGGACCCUGUAGUCUAGAAGUUUUUGCUUUGGAAAUGGAGAUGAUGGAAUGAUGGUUCGGAGGAACAAAGGUGGGAGAGGGGCCAAACUGGAGGUGACAUGCAGCUGUUUGGAAUGAUCAGCUGACCACAUCCUACAUGAGCAUUAAAUUCUUAUUUGAAAUCAGAGUUUAGAGUUGCCAGAAGUCUGAGAGAUGUGAUCCAAAUACCUUAUUUUUGGGAUGAGAAAACCAGGUCUCAGGAAGUUUAAGUGACUUGCUUAAGGUCACCUCACUUGUCUGUGUGACCAGACCCUAGCCAGAUUCCAAUGCUUCACCUUAAACUUGCCAUUUAUCUUGGGUGGAGGAAUGUACUUUAAGUGUAAUGUUAAUUUGACCUAAAUCUCUUUCUAUAACAGUCCAUGCAGAAAGUUCUCGUGAGUCCCAAAGUCAUCUCUUUGAUGCCUCUUUGUGGCUGUUCAGAUUGUAGAAAAUGUAUAUAUGUCACUCUAUAUAAACACAUCAGACCCUUCAGAAAGACUCCAAGAGAAGGUGCCUGAGAGAGAUACUCCCAGUUAAAGUAAUUCUGUCCUCAGUUGCAAUAUUCAGGAUAGGUAUGUAGAAAUAUAGGUUUGUCAGAUUAAGUAAAAGUAAUAAUUUCCUAGGGUAACUUGGCAAGAUAGUUCUCAAGAAUAUAACAUGUUUCUAAGAAAUCUACAAUUUCUUAGAAUCAAGAUGACAAAGAAGCUUUCCCA
rnacentral:lncRNA from 1 species